UCGCAACUUUCCAUUUUGCGUUUCAAUAAACUUUCGCAACUUACGAUAUCGUAGAAUUCUCUCGUAAGUCUACGAGACGUAAGAAGCAGUCGUAGUUACGUCGAAAACAAAAUGGACGCCGCGUAUGUUGUGCAUUUGGACGCCGAAUAAGAAGCUUUUGGCUUCGUCUUUUUAUCGACGACAAUACAGAGGAAGUAAACAUGUUGUUUUUUAUCCCUUGAUUGCUUUCUGCAAAAUAUUUAACGUUGGAAUCAAUAUGUCAGUUACUGCCCUUUGUUUAUAUUCGAUAAGGAUGAAUAAAUCAAAAUAAAUUGCAAUUUAUCAUACGUGAAAACCCCAUGUGUUUAUUAUGUGUGUGAUGCAAUUAUAUUGUUCAACAGCAGUUGAAGUAUAUGCGCUUCCCGCCGCUCAAAUUAUUGUGCAAUGAUUAAUUUUGCUGUACUCAUCACUGACAUCAGUUAAAGAUUUUUGGCCAAAGGAAACAUCUAUUCCAAGCUGGCAGAUCUUCAUGGAAUCAGCAGAUCAUCUUUCGUUAAUUGACAUGCCUUCACAAGUUCAAUCAGCAAACAUAUGAUUGGUUUCCAGUCCGCGUACAACAACAAACUUGCAUGAAGGUUGGAUUCUGCCACAAGGCCCGGGAGCAGUGGAUGGGACUCUCAUACCCAUAAUACUGAAUAUGUUAUAUUACACACAUGCAGUUGAACACAGCAGGAACUCUUGAAGAAAAAAAUGUGUAUUUUUUUUAUUCGAACUUAAAUGUAAAAUAUAUAUUUAAUUUUAGCUCGACUAUACCUUGAAUGAUAAGCUGUGUUUAAAAUUAUGGUAAACAUGCAACAUCCUUAUAUCACUGUUUCUAUUACAUAUUUUCAUUAAAAGCACUUAUGUAUUCAGGGUCAUUAUGUCAUUGUGAGGUCACUGACCAAGUUGCUUAUCUCUGACCUGCAUUUAGCUUAAUAAUGCCCCUUUUGUACUUAAAAUGUUCCACUUAAAUUGUGUGUACAGCUACUCCAUAUCCCUAUAUUUUCCACAGAUAAUCCUUCACAUAUGUCCUCAGAAUUUUUUUAAAACAUAUAAAUAAUAUUUCUUUGGGUCAUUGUUAUAACCACUACAAAUAUUUACUGUUGUUGCGAAUAAAGUUGUUAAAACUGUUUAAA